AUUGAACGCUGGCGGCAGGCCUAACACAUGCAAGUCGAGCGGAUGAAGAGAGCUUGCUCUCUGAUUUAGCGGCGGACGGGUGAGUAAUGCCUAGGAAUCUGCCUGGUAGUGGGGGAUAACGUCCGGAAACGGGCGCUAAUACCGCAUACGUCCUACGGGAGAAAGCAGGGGACCUUCGGGCCUUGCGCUAUCAGAUGAGCCUAGGUCGGAUUAGCCAGUUGGUGAGGUAAUGGCUCACCAAGGCGACGAUCCGUAACUGGUCUGAGAGGAUGGUCAGCCACACUGGAACUGAGACACGGUCCAGACUCCUACGGGAGGCAGCAGUGGGGAAUAUUGGACAAUGGGCGCAAGCCUGAUCCAGCCAUGCCGCGUGUGUGAAGAAGGCCUUCGGGUUGUAAAGCACUUUCAGCGAGGAGGAAGGGGUGAGUGUUAAUAGUACUCAUCUUUGACGUUACUCGCAGAAGAAGCACCGGCUAACUCUGUGCCAGCAGCCGCCGUAAUAC
rnacentral:rRNA from 1 species